UUCUGGUUGAUCCUGGCGGAGGCUACUGCUAUUGGGAUUCGAUUAAGCCAUGCGAGUUGAAUGAAUUUAGAUUCAUGGCGUACGGCUCAGUAACACGUGGAUAACUUACCCUUAGGACUGGGAUAACUCUGGGAAACUGGGGAUAAUACCGGAUAUUAGGCUAUGGCUGGAAUGCUUUGCCUUUGAAAUGUUUCUUGUAUUCGCCUAAGGAUAGAUCUGCGGCUGAUUAGGUCGUUGGUGGGGUAAUGGCCCACCAAGCCUAUGAUCGGUACGGGUUGUGAGAGCAAGAGCCCGGAGAUGGAACCUGAGACAAGGUUCCAGACCCUACGGGGUGCAGCAGGCGCGAAACCUCCGCAAUGUACGAAAGUGCGACGGGGGGAUCCCAAGUGUUAUUCUUAAUAGGAUAACUUUUCAUUAGUGUAAAAAGCU
rnacentral:rRNA from 1 species